UGAACGCUGGCGGCGUGCCUACUACAUGCACGUCGAGCGACCAGAUGAGGAGCUUGCUCCUCUGACGUUAGCGGCGGACGGGUGAGUAACACGUGGAUAACCUACCUAUAAGACUGGGAUAACUUCGGGAAACCGGAGCUAAUACCGGAUAAUAUAUUGAACCGCAUGGUUCAAUAGUGAAAGACGGUUUUGCUGUCACUUAUAGAUGGAUCCGCGCCGCAUUAGCUAGUUGGUAAGGUAACGGCUUACCAAGGCAACGAUGCGUAGCCGACCUGAGAGGGUGAUCGGCCACACUGGAACUGAGACACGGUCCAGACUCCUACGGGAGGCAGCAGUAGGGAAUCUUCCGCAAUGGGCGAAAGCCUGACGGAGCAACGCCGCGUGAGUGAUGAAGGUCUUCGGAUCGUAAAACUCUGUUAUUAGGGAAGAACAAAUGUGUAAGUAACUAUGCACGUCUUGACGGUACCUAAUCAGAAAGCCACGGCUAACUACGUG
rnacentral:rRNA from 1 species